UCUGGGAUUAGAUACCCUGUUAUUGAAAAAAAUAAAUUUUGAUUACUAUUUGCUUGGGCACUACGAACACAUGUUUAAAACCCAAAGAACUUGGCGGCACUUUAACCCACUUAGGGGAACUUGUCCUUUAAUUCGAUAAUCCACGACAAUCUUAUUUAUUUUAGAACACUUCAGCUUGUAUACCGUCGUCACAAGUUAACCUUAAAGAGAAUAAAAGUUAACAACAAAGAUUAAGAAAAAAUUUUCUCUCAGGUCAGAUCAAGGUGCAGCUAAUAAGUAAAGACAGAGAUGAGUUACAGUUAAUAAAUUUUACAUGAAAUUUUCAGAGAAAAACGAAAAAGAAACAGGACUUAAAAGUAAUUAACAAAAACAAAUGUUAAUGAAUAAGGUAAUAAAGUGUGCACAAAUCGCCCGUCACUCUCUGAC
rnacentral:rRNA from 1 species